UACGAGGGGAGCUAGCGUUGUUCGGAAUUACUGGGCGUAAAGCGCACGUAGGCGGCUUUGUAAGUUAGGGGUGAAAUCCCGGGGCUCAACCUCGGAAUUGCCUCUAAGACUGCAUCGCUUGAAUCCAGGAGAGGUGAGUGGAAUUCCGAGUGUAGAGGUGAAAUUCGUAGAUAUUCGGAAGAACACCAGUGGCGAAGGCGACUUACUGGACACAUAUUGACGCUGAGGUGCGAAAGCGUGGGGAGCAAACAGG
rnacentral:rRNA from 1 species